AGCCUGCCCAGUGACCACCCCGUUCAACGGCCGCGGUACCCUAACCGUGCAAAGGUAGCGUAAUCACUUGUCUUCUAAAUAAAGACUAGUAUGAAAGGCGCCACGAGGAUUAAACUGUCUCCCUUUUCUAAUCAGUGAACCUAAUCUCCCUGUGAAGAAGCAGGGAUUAAAAUAUAAGACGAGAAGACCCUGUGGAGCUUAAAACAUUAUAACACCUGCUUUCUCUACUUUACCAUCUAUAGCAACACAUGAUUGUAUGUUUUCGGUUGGGGUGACCACGGAGGAAAAACAAUCCUCCAUACGAAAGGGGACCCCCCCCCACAACAAGCUACAGCUUUAAGUAUCAAUAAAUUGACAUAUUGACCCAAUAUAUUGAUUAAUGAACCAAGUUACCCCAGGGAUAACAGCGCAAUCCGCUUCAAGAGCUCCUAUCGACAAGCGGGCUUACGACCUCGAUGUUGGAUCAGGGUAUCCUAGUGGUGCAGCCACUACUAAAGGU
rnacentral:rRNA from 1 species